rnacentral:tRNA from 1 species
GGCGGAAGCAGCGCGGCCACUUGCGCCCGCGCCGCUUCCACCGCCGCCGCUGCGGCGCGGCCGGGGCGGUGCGGGCUGUGCGGGUUGGCAUAGCCGCCGC